rnacentral:rRNA from 1 species
UACGUAGGGGGCAAGCGUUGUCCGGAAUCAUUGGGCGUAAAGAGCGUGUAGGCGGUCCGGUAAGUCCGCUGUGAAAGUCGGGGGCUCAACCCUCGAAUGCCGGUGGAUACUGUCGGGCUAGAGUGCGGAAGAGGCGAGUGGAAUUCCUGGUGUAGCGGUGAAAUGCGCAGAUAUCAGGAGGAACACCUAUUGCGAAGGCAGCGCGCUGGGACGUAACUGACGCUGAGACGCGAAAGCGUGGGGAGCAAACAGG